CAUUCCAACUUAAUCCCCACUAAUAUGUAUGCAUCAAAGAUUGCAUCAAAGAACAUGGCUUUCUCUGGGGGACAUAAUAUAUACAAACCAGUACCCCAACUAAAUGAAAAAUCAGAGGCCUUUUGAAUUGUUAUGGAAAGAGCACUGGUUUCUACUAUUUCUCUAGCCUUAUUUUGACUCAUAAAAUGCUCCCUAGUUUCAGGAAAGAAGAACACUGCUGGAUGAUAAAAUAAAGUUGAACUACAAGUCUAGAUCAGGGUGGUUUUGUUUGUUUGCUCUUUAGACAUUAAUUUCACAGCAAAUAAAGAAUUAUAAGAAGUUACAUCUCAUGGGUUAAUUUUAAGAAAAAAACUUCACUGGAAUAUUUCCUCACUGGAUUGUUAAAUGUAGUCUCUGAACUAAAUAUAAGCCUGUUGGAAAGUUAUGAGCAGUAAGGAUCUCUGGGGGCUGACAAUGGCUAUAAACAGAAAGUUCUCAUUGACUUCACCUGAAAUGUUUGGUGAUGUUGAUUCUGGACUUUUAGGCUCAGGACUAUGAGAGAUCAUCAGCCUUUUCGUUUUACGUAGGAGACUAAGACGCGGAGAAGGAUCUGUUAGUUGCUCAUCUUGGUAGGAGUUCUCCAAUCACCACCCACCCCCCACCCCAGGAUCCCUUGUUGAAAGGAAAAUGGGUAAGGCAGGUACACUGAACAGUCUCUGGAUAGAAGUGGGUGGGGACUUUACUUUGUGUCUACUUGGGGGCCAUUUAGGGGUAGUCACUGACUGGAAGGGGCUGACUAUUUGAAGCUAGUUUUGUAUAACAAGUCCCUGGUUUUCCUUAGAUUGUACAUUUGUUUGGGGUGGCUUUAGGAUGGCUCGAUGGCCACUCUAGUGCAGCCAUUGGUCCCAACACCCCUCAUUGGGGCUCCUCUGGGCUCCUGGGAGCCAAGUUUGGAUUUGGCUGCUCCUGACUGAGGUACUUAUCAACAAGAUAAGCAUCUUAAAUGUUGUAAGCUCACCUUAAUAUUAUGUAAGGCAGAAAUCUUUUAGUUUUCAUUGCCUCCUUUCCUGUUUAACAGUUUCUCUUCUGCUUGUAUUAGCAUUAAUGUGUGUGUUUUAGGGAUUUAUUUGUGGUCUUUAGGGGUUUGGUGUACAAUGAAGAAAAACAGAGACACCACUCCCAGUUCUCUCCCACCAAGAAAAAAAAAUAAAGGAAAGAAAAACAACUUUUUUUAUACAGAAUAUUAUUUUGUUCUUUGCAUUUUAUUCAGCACCCCACCCUAAGAUCCCUGGAGAGUUUUCUUACACACUUUUGCACAUUUCUGAGAACAUAUUUGCCAUCUGGGUGGUGCCGCCUCUGGAAUGACAUGAAUGGAGAUGCCAAAAUGUGGAACAACACUCCUUGGUUUCUGUUUUAAAUGAUUUUCAUGACAUGUAUCUGCAGACAUAUCAGGGCAGAAAUUCUUUAAGGAAAGAGAUUUUCAGUGUGACAGCCAUCAGCUUUGAUUUUUCUUGUACAAAGUGAUACCCCCUGAAUAAAAAGGAUAAAGGCUCCUCAGAUGAAUCUCAUAAAACUUCCCCAGGAUUCCCCAUAAACAUAAUUUUGAAAAUAUUUGUUAGGAAUGAGCACAAUUUUGAUUGUUCUAUUUUUUUAUUUUUUGACUGUUAGCCUGGUUGAGAGGGACCAAGGCCAGGGUCAUGAGUUUGAUUUCUGGGCCAUCCACUGGCUUUCCUGGCUUGUUCCUCAGCCAAGGGACAGUGUCCCUCAUGCUGCCCGGGCACCUGCAAAGCUCCCUUCUUGGUCAAGGGGCAUUAGGGAAUGGAGGGCGGCUUAAUGGGUAAGUGCAAACCUUUCACUACUAAGUGUCCUCCUGGCGGGUCAGUGAAAUUGCCUUUUUGAGUAUGAAGAACCCAGCAUUUUCCCUAUGAUUUGAGUGUGAAUAUUUCAAGUGAAACAGAUCCUGGGCCAUGGGAAAAAAAAAAAAAGUACACUAUUGUUAACAAAAUCUGUUAAAAGUGGAUAGAAAUUAGCUUUUGCUUUUCUUUAGGAAGACCCGGGAGCAAGUCCCUGAGGCUCCUAAAAAUCAACUUAGAAACCCGGUAUCUGAUGGGAAAUUACUGAUUUUCAAGGAAAAUACGUCUAGGUUCACUGCUUGAGCCUCCUGAGUGACGUCACAGGUGCCCUGGCUGGCCUGCUUGGGCUUCUGCCUAAAACUAGCUGGAGGUCUGGAUGGUCAAGUGGCUCCCUGAGAACUUUGAAAACUAGCUCACACUUCUGCCAUGGUUCAAAGAAGAAAACUCAAACUAUAGAAAUGAGCAGCUGAUUUGUAUCUAGAAACCAGAAAUGUUUUACAUACCUUUGGCAAAUUCAGUGCACUGGGAGAGGAAAACCAGAAGUUCAGAUUGCAGACUGCCAGCCGCCUGCCCUCCCUGUCUGGUGCUGUGUGGCAGCCCCGGGCCCAGGAGCAUCCCCAAGUGCCUUGAAGACUGCACGCAGCAGCUUGCUUAACCUAGGACAGUUAAGGUUUGACCUACUCUCCUUGUAAAAUCAGGCCUCUGGCACUAAAUGUAAUCUCCUGAAACUAUCUCCUCCCCGAAACUCCCUGAGGUACUAUUAUAAUCUAUAAUCCUCCCCUCUUCCCUGUUGACUACAAUUGAUUCCUCCCUACAUCACAAGACCCCUGCUCCUCUCAUACCCAUUUGAAUGUCUUUGUCCUAACCCCAUAAAGCACUCCCCAGCACCCCCUGCUUUUGCAGUGUAUCUUCAUGUUAAGCUUUGAACCCGCCGCUGUUCACAGCAGCUCCUGAAUCCAUUCAGAGAAGUUCCUGAAUUCAGGGCAACAUGAUCAACUUCUCACCCUGUAGGUAAACCCCCAAAAUAAAAGCUCAUGUCUCAGAAUGUGUUCGGUGUUUUCUUUAGUCCUUCGGCUGCAAAAGCCCUGCUUUGUUUAGUCCUUCGGCCGUGACAUCUACUUCUCCCAUAGUUUUUCCUCAACCCAAGCCCUCUCUUUUUGGAUGGUGCCCCUUCCUUUCAAACUUAGAAAAAAAUAGGCAAAAUAGCUGUCUCUCUGCACCCCUUCUCCACCCUUGAUCCUCUCUUGCCCACCUACCAGGAUGGCAGCCCGGGGGUACAGGCCAUUCUCCACCAGAGAGCAUUUCCACUGGUGCAGCAGUUCCUGUGGAUAAUCACAAGAUACCUGGGAGACAGAUAGAGGCCAGAUGAGCAAGCUCUCAACUUAACUCUCUACCCAGAGUCCCACCCAGCAGGCAGUAGGACUCAGCUGAUUUCACUCAAACUGCAACCAAAAGGUCUUUUGAAUACAAAAGUAAAACCUGGAGAGAGGAUUAUAAAGAAAGAAACAAGAAAGGAAGAAAGUCAGAGGGCUCAGACCUCAGGAGGUAAGGAGUCCAGUGAUCCAUGGGUGGACCUGCCCCAAGGAGUGGGCAGUAAGGGCCCUUAACUCCAAAUGCCAGUAUAGAAAGCCAGGAUCCUUGGGAUUAAGGAGUGGGAGGGGAGUGAAAGGAGAUGCUGUGGCUGAAGGCACCAAGGAUCCAUAGGCACCAGGAAGCAGGGGCUCAGAAUUCACAUUCAGGGCCUGAUUCUGCAACAGGCCCUCUGCCUCUUGCCCUGGUCCUAGUCUGCAGGUCAGCAGCAAAAAGUACAACUGAAACAGCUUCAAAAGGGGAGGGCUCUGCUGCUACACUUCUGCUUCUCCUUUAGGCUACAAUGAUCUGCCUUGCAUGGGACAGGAGGACGCAUCUAAACAGUGAAGUGGGGUCCCCUUUCCCCUUAAUCCUAUAACAUCUGCAAAGCAAAAAUGUUGUGUAAACAGCAUUAGGCCAUGAGGAGGGGGGAGUGAGACUGUACCAGUUAAAGGAAGCGAAACUGCGGUUGCACACAUCAGCCAAGCAUAACCCUUUAACAAUCAAUAGCUGCACCAGUUCCAAGUGAAACUCUUUGUAACUCUUUGACAACCAAAAACUGUACCAGUUCCAAGUGAAACUCUUUGUAAAAUUGUUUUUUUUUGUAAUCAAGAGCUAACUGCCAACUCUGCUUCUGUUAGAAUAGCUUGCUUGCGUUUCUAGGAUACGGUUUCUGUCUACAUAAGGCACUGGCGCACACAGGUCGGGGCUGCUCACUGAAUUCCCUGUGCGGAGGGAGUCAAGCUGAGCAGUCGCCGGCCGGCUAAUAAAGGCUGUUUAAAUUCUAA